AUGACAAUUCAUUUUGAGCGCAGGACGGCUGGGGAGGGAGGGGAGUGGGGAAGGAUGAGCGCAAACAGCCCGUCUUGGUACCAGGCUGUUUUCUGGCCUCUGGUGUGUGAUGCCUGGAAGGAGAGUAUGGAGGAAGCCGCCUACCAGCUGGCCAGCUGCAUUGUCCUCCUGGGUUACAUGGGGGGAAGUGGCAUCUUUGGGUCCCUGUAUAUCUUUGGCGUCCUGGCCCCAGGCUACUUCUGCUAUGCUCUGUGGGGCUGGCUGAGCGCUUGUGGGCUGGAUAUCUUCAUCUGGAACAUGCUGCUGGUCCUCGCCUGCUUGCUUCAGCUGGCUUACCUGGUUUACCGGCUCCGCAGAAACACCAUCCCAGAAGAGUUUGACCUCCUCUACAAGACCAUGUACCUGCCCUUGCAGGUGCCCCUGGAGGUCUACAAAGAAAUCGUGAAGUGCUGUGAAGAGCAGGUCCAGUCAUUAGUCAGAGACCAGAAUUAUGCUGUGGAGGGCAAGACACCCAUUGACCGCCUCUCAUUGCUGCUGUCUGGCAGGAUCCGAGUGUGCCAGGAUGGACAAUUCCUUCACUAUGUCUUUCCAUACCAAUUCCUGGACUCUCCAGAAUGGGAGUCACUGCGACCCUCUGAGGAAGGAACUUUCCAGGUCACACUGACAGCCGAGACCGAUUGCAGCUACAUCACCUGGCCAAGGAAGAGGCUGUAUCUCCUCCUGAGGAAAGACCGCUACAUUGCCCGGCUCUUCUCUUCCCAUCUGGGUUAUGACAUCUCAGAGAAGCUCUACUCCCUCAACGAAAAGCUCUUUGUCAAGUUUGGCCUUUGCUUCGACAUCCGCUUGCCCAGCCUCUACCACGUCCUUGGGCCAGCCUCCUCGGAGGGGGAGUCAGAGGACUGUGAGGAGAUGCUGCCUGGCUCUGGCCAGACCAGUAUCUCUGAGCCGCCACUGCAGCCACCACUGGCUCUAUGUCCCCGGGCAUCCCAGCCUGACAGUGACCUGCUGGGUGAGGACUCCACCAGUCUUGUCUUGGAAGAUUUUGCUGAGUUGCCGGGGUCUUUUAUGGACUAUGUGAGCGAAGGGGAGUAUAUGAAGUGAGGGGACUCCUGGCACGGGCAGACCUCACCCUGUGUGGGACCCUUGUGUAAGUACCCACUUGCAGAGCAAGUCUUUCCGUGAUGCAUCUGCCUGGACAGAGCACUGGCCUCCAUUUGCCAUGGGUUUGCACCUCUGCAGUGUUUCUUGGCCUACUGCCCCAAGGAAUCCUAGGUGCCUCUGAAAAC